rnacentral:rRNA from 1 species
UUAGGAGAUUUUAAUGAAAUUGUACUCUCGUCGGAAAAAGAAGGUGGCAAUGCGAGACCGAAUACAAUGAUGAGUGAUUUCCGUAAUUAUUUAGGAGAGUGCGGCCUCGAGGAUAUGGGAUGUAUUGGUGAUCCUUUCACUUGGAGGAGAGGCGACACUAGAGAGAGACUUGAGAUGGCGGUUUGCAAUGUGGAAUGUGCGAAUAUAUUCCCGCCGGUUAUAAAUGAGGAACAUGUUCAUUUCGAUCAUCGUCCCAUCAUCUUGGAUACUGAAUACUUUGUCGCCAAUAUUUUUAAUCCUCCAAAGGGACGAGUGAAACAAUUUGAAGCUAGAUGGCUUAAAGAGGAGACAGUCGUUCAGAUUGUGCGCACAGCGUGGGAAAAGGCAAAUAAAAUGGGUAUUGGGCCUACGCUCGCUGAUCGUAUGCGAGUGGUACAUGCAGAUUUGCAGAAUUGGGAUCGUGAGACUCUGAACGGACCGAAAAAGACAAUAAGUAAACUUAAAAAAGAAUUGGAAAAGCUAUGUAGGGGACCUAUGAAUGUGGAUUCCCAAGCAUGA